AUUGAACGCUGGCGGAAUGCUUUACACAUGCAAGUCGAACGGUAGAGGGGCAACCCUUGAGAGUGGCGAACGGGUGAGUAAUGUAUCGGAACGUGCCCAGUCGUGGGGGAUAACGUAGCGAAAGUUACGCUAAUACCGCAUACGAUCUAUGGAUGAAAGCGGGGAAUCGCAAGACCCCGCGCGAUUGGAGCGGCCGAUAUCAGAUUAGGUAGUUGGUGGGGUAAAGGCCUACCAAGCCGACGAUCUGUAGCUGGUCUGAGAGGACGACCAGCCACACUGGGACUGAGACACGGCCCAGACUCCUACGGGAGGCAGCAGUGGGGAAUUUUGGACAAUGGACGCAAGUCUGAUCCAGCCAUUCCGCGUGCAGGAUGAAGGCCCUCGGGUUGUAAACUGCUUUUGUACGGAACGAAAAGGUCUUGGUUAAUACCUGAGGCUCAUGACGGUACCGUAAGAAUAAGCACCGGCUAACUACGUGCCAGCAGCCGCGGUAACAC
rnacentral:rRNA from 1 species